CAAUAGCGUAUAUUAAAGUUGUUGCAGUUAAAAAGCUCGUAGUUGGAUUUCUGGUCGGAAGCUCCUGUCCUCUGAUGAGCGUACAAGUGCGUCCUACCAUCCUUCUGUUAACCUUUAAGGCUUUCGCGGCUUUCUAGGGGCUCAGAUAUUUUACCUUGAGAAAAUUAGAGUGUUUCAGGCAGGCUAGCGCCGGAAUACAUUAGCAUGGAAUAAUGGAAUAGGACUUUUGCCUCUUCUGUUGGUCAUGAGGCUCGAGUAAUGAUUAAUAGGGAUAGUUGGGGGCAUUAGUACUUAACUGUCAGAGGUGAAAUUCUCGGAUUUGUUACAGACUAACUUAUGCGAAAGCAUUUGCCAAGGAUGUUUUCAUUAA
rnacentral:rRNA from 1 species